rnacentral:rRNA from 1 species
UAUUGCACAAUGGGCGGAAGCCUGAUGCAGCAACGCCGCGUGAGGGAUGACGGCCUUCGGGUUGUAAACCUCUUUUAGCAGGGAAGAAGCGAAAGUGACGGUACCUGCAGAAAAAGCACCGGCUAACUACGUGCCAGCAGCCGCGGUAAUACGUAGGGUGCAAGCGUUAUCCGGAAUUAUUGGGCGUAAAGAGCUCGUAGGCGGUUUGUCGCGUCUGCUGUGAAAUCCGGAGGCUCAACCUCCGGCCUGCAGUGGGUACGGGCAGACUAGAGUGCGGUAGGGGAGAUUGGAAUUCCUGGUGUAGCGGUGGAAUGCGCAGAUAUCAGGAGGAACACCGAUGGCGAAGGCAGAUCUCUGGGCCGUUACUGACGCUGAGGAGCGAAAGGGUGGGGAGCAAACAGGCUUAGAUACCCUGGUAGUCCACCCCGUAAACGUUGGGAACUAGUUGUGGGGUCCAUUCCACG